rnacentral:rRNA from 1 species
AUUGAACGCUGGCGGCAUGCCUUACACAUGCAAGUCGAACGGCAGCACGGGGGCAACCCUGGUGGCGAGUGGCGAACGGGUGAGUAAUAUAUCGGAACGUACCCUGGAGUGGGGGAUAACGUAGCGAAAGUUACGCUAAUACCGCAUACGAUCUACGGAUGAAAGUGGGGGCUCGCAAGACCUCAUGCUCAUGGAGCGGCCGAUAUCUGAUUAGCAGUUGGUGGGGUAAGGCCUACCAAGGCGACGAUCAGUAGCUGGUCUGAGAGGACGACCAGCCACACUGGGACUGAGACACGGCCCAGACUCCUACGGGAGGCAGCAGUGGGAAUUUUCCGCAAUGGGCGAAAGCCUGACGGAGUGACGCCGCGUGGGGGACGAAGGCCU